AUUGAACGCUGGCGGCAUGCUUUACACAUGCAAGUCGAACGGUAACGGGCCGCAAGGUGCUGACGAGGGGCGAACGGGUGAGUAAUGCAUCGGAACGUGCACAGUCGUGGGGGAUAACGAAGCGAAAGCUGCGCUAAUACCGCAUACGAUCUAUGGAUGAAAGCGGGGGACCGUAAGGCCUCGCGCGAUUGGAGCGGCCGAUGUCAGAUUAGGUAGUUGGUGGGGUAAAGGCUCACCAAGCCAACGAUCUGUAGCUGGUCUGAGAGGACGACCCGCCACACUGGGACUGAGACACGGCCCAGACUCCGACGGGAGGCAGCAGUGGGGAAUUUUGGACAAUGGGCGCAAGCCUGAUCCAGCAAUGCCGCGUGCAGGAAGAAGGCCUUCGGGUUGUAAACUGCUUUUGUACGGAACGAAACGGCUCUGGUUAAUACCUGGGGCUAAUGACGGUACCGUGAGAAUAAGCACCGGCUAACUACGUGCCAGCCGCCGCCGUAA
rnacentral:rRNA from 1 species